rfam:Salmo salar isolate Sally breed double haploid chromosome ssa10, whole genome shotgun sequence.
AAUGCACCAAUUUGUAAGUCGCUCUGGAUAAGAGCAUCUGCUAAAUGACAUAAA